CCAUAGGUUAAUGAGGCGAACCGGGGGAACUGAAACAUCUAAGUACCCCGAGGAAAAGAAAUCAACCGAGAUUCCCCCAGUAGCGGCGAGCGAACGGGGAGCAGCCCAGAGCCUGAAUCAGUGUGUGUGUUAGUGGAAGCGUCUGGAAAGGCGCGCGAUACAGGGUGACAGCCCCGUACACAAAAAUGCACAUGCUGUGAGCUCGAUGAGUAGGGCGGGACACGUGGUAUCCUGUCUGAAUAUGGGGGGACCAUCCUCCAAGGCUAAAUACUCCUGACUGACCGAUAGUGAACCAGUACCGUGAGGGAAAGGCGAAAAGAACCCCGGCGAGGGGAGUGAAAAAGAACCUGAAACCGUGUACGUACAAGCAGUGGGAGCACGCUUAGGCGUGUGACUGCGUACCUUUUGUAUAAUGGGUCAGCGACUUAUAUUCUGUAGCAAGGUUAACCGAAUAGGGGAGCCGAAGGGAAACCGAGUCUUAACUGGGCGUUAAGUUGCAGGGUAUAGACCCGAAACCCGGUGAUCUAGCCAUGGGCAGGUUGAAGGUUGGGUAACACUAACUGGAGGACCGAACCGACUAAUGUUGAAAAAUUAGCGGAUGACUUGUGGCUGGGGGUGAAAGGCCAAUCAAACCGGGAGAUAGCUGGUUCUCCCCGAAAGCUAUUUAGGUAGCGCCUCGUGAAUUCAUCUCCGGGGGUAGAGCACUGUUUCGGCAAGGGGGUCAUCCCGACUUACCAACCCGAUGCAAACUGCGAAUACCGGAGAAUGUUAUCACGGGAGACACACGGCGGGUGCUAACGUCCGUCGUGAAGAGGGAAACAACCCAGACCGCCAGCUAAGGUCCCAAAGUCAUGGUUAAGUGGGAAACGAUGUGGGAAGGCCCAGACAGCCAGGAUGUUGGCUUAGAAGCAGCCAUCAUUUAAAGAAAGCGUAAUAGCUCACUGGUCGAGUCGGCCUGCGCGGAAGAUGUAACGGGGCUAAACCAUGCACCGAAGCUGCGGCAGCGACGCUUAUGCGUUGUUGGGUAGGGGAGCGUUCUGUAAGCCUGUGAAGGUGUACUGUGAGGUAUGCUGGAGGUAUCAGAAGUGCGAAUGCUGACAUAAGUAACGAUAAAGCGGGUGAAAAGCCCGCUCGCCGGAAGACCAAGGGUUCCUGUCCAACGUUAAUCGGGGCAGGGUGAGUCGACCCCUAAGGCGAGGCCGAAAGGCGUAGUCGAUGGGAAACAGGUUAAUAUUCCUGUACUUGGUGUUACUGCGAAGGGGGGACGGAGAAGGCUAUGUUGGCCGGGCGACGGUUGUCCCGGUUUAAGCGUGUAGGCUGGUUUUCCAGGCAAAUCCGGAAAAUCAAGGCCGAGGCGUGAUGACGAGGCACUACGGUGCUGAAGCAACAAAUGCCCUGCUUCCAGGAAAAGCCUCUAAGCAUCAGGUAACAUCAAAUCGUACCCCAAACCGACACAGGUGGUCAGGUAGAGAAUACCAAGGCGCUUGAGAGAACUCGGGUGAAGGAACUAGGCAAAAUGGUGCCGUAACUUCGGGAGAAGGCACGCUGAUACGUAGGUGAAGCGACUUGCUCGUGGAGCUGAAAUCAGUCGAAGAUACCAGCUGGCUGCAACUGUUUAUUAAAAACACAGCACUGUGCAAACACGAAAGUGGACGUAUACGGUGUGACGCCUGCCCGGUGCCGGAAGGUUAAUUGAUGGGGUUAGCGCAAGCGAAGCUCUUGAUCGAAGCCCCGGUAAACGGCGGCCGUAACUAUAACGGUCCUAAGGUAGCGAAAUUCCUUGUCGGGUAAGUUCCGACCUGCACGAAUGGCGUAAUGAUGGCCAGGCUGUCUCCACCCGAGACUCAGUGAAAUUGAACUCGCUGUGAAGAUGCAGUGUACCCGCGGCAAGACGGAAAGACCCCGUGAACCUUUACUAUAGCUUGACACUGAACAUUGAGCCUUGAUGUGUAGGAUAGGUGGGAGGCUUUGAAGUGUGGACGCCAGUCUGCAUGGAGCCGACCUUGAAAUACCACCCUUUAAUGUUUGAUGUUCUAACGUGGACCCGUGAUCCGGGUUGCGGACAGUGUCUGGUGGGUAGUUUGACUGGGGCGGUCUCCUCCUAAAGAGUAACGGAGGAGCACGAAGGUUGGCUAAUCCUGGUCGGACAUCAGGAGGUUAGUGCAAUGGCAUAAGCCAGCUUGACUGCGAGCGUGACGGCGCGAGCAGGUGCGAAAGCAGGUCAUAGUGAUCCGGUGGUUCUGAAUGGAAGGGCCAUCGCUCAACGGAUAAAAGGUACUCCGGGGAUAACAGGCUGAUACCGCCCAAGAGUUCAUAUCGACGGCGGUGUUUGGCACCUCGAUGUCGGCUCAUCACAUCCUGGGGCUGAAGUAGGUCCCAAGGGUAUGGCUGUUCGCCAUUUAAAGUGGUACGCGAGCUGGGUUUAGAACGUCGUGAGACAGUUCGGUCCCUAUCUGCC
rnacentral:rRNA from 1 species